rnacentral:rRNA from 1 species
AUCUUGACGCGACUUUACGGUCGCUGCAUUGGAUGAGUACAAUUUAAACCACUUAACGAGUAUCCAUUGGAGGGCAAGUCUGGGGCCAGCAGCCGCGGUAAUUCCAGCUCCAAUAGCGUAUAUUAAAGUUGUUGCAGUUAAAAAGCUCGUAGUUGAAUUUCAGAGGAGAGCCUGUGGUCUCGCUUCGGCGUGUACUGCGCGGUCUUGAAUCUAACUGCCUGGGGAAACAGGGUGUCCUUUACUGGGCGCCCUGCGAAACCAGGACGAUUACCUUGAGAAAAAUAGAGUGUUCAAAGCAGGCAGCUUGCUUGAAUACGUUAGCAUGGAAUAAUAAAAUAGGACUUUGGUUCUAUUUUGUUGGUUUUAAGGACCAAUGUCAUGAUGAAUAGGGACAGUUGGGGGCAUUCGUAUUCCGAAGCUAGAGGUAAGACCCCGGAGCAUGCCCCAAUCCUGAAAAUUGAUGACUAGUGAUGGCAUCCGUACUCCGAAUUCCCAAGGUACAUCUUCAGCUUUUUAAC